AUACGUAGGGUGCGAGCGUUAAUCGGAAUUACUGGGCGUAAAGCGUGCGCAGGCGGUUUUGUAAGACAGUGGUGAAAUCCCCGGGCUCAACCUGGGAACUGCCAUUGUGACUGCAAGGCUGGAGUGCGGCAGAGGGGGAUGGAAUUCCGCGUGUAGCAGGGAAAUGCGUAGAUAUGCGGAGGAACACCGAUGGCGAAGGCAAUCCCCUGGGCCUGCACUGACGCUCAUGCACGAAAGCGUGGGGAGCAAACAGGAUUAGAUACCCUGGUAGUCCACGCCCUAAACGAUGUCAACUGGUUGUUGGGAAUUUAUUUUCUCAGUAACGAAGCUAACGCGUGAAGUUGACCGCCUGGGGAGUACGGCCGCAAGGUUAAAACUCAAAGGAAUUGACGGGG
rnacentral:rRNA from 1 species